rnacentral:lncRNA from 1 species
GUCUGCCAGGAACCCGGGGACUCAGAGACCCAGUGUCCUUCUUGCAACUCCAAUACAUUCUGUGUCACAUGACCUCAAAUAGAUCUACGGAGGCAGGAAAGACAAGAAGGUGCCCAGGAUCGGAUCUGGAAUGGCCACCCCUGCCUUUUUCCCAUGGGCAGAAUGGCCCAAAUGCAAGGAGGACAGAUUUCCUAAGAAUGGGAGUGUGCGGAAAAGACAGACGGCCUCCUCUGCACCCGACAGCUUCCCACUGACAACAUCCGUGGAGGGAGGAGAGGACUUGGCAUAGCUGAGCCAGGGAAGACGAUUCCAAGACUUGUGAG